ensembl:rRNA 5S_rRNA 5S ribosomal RNA
GUCUCUGGCCAGACCACGCUAAAGGCGCCGGGUCUUCUCUGAUCUUGGAAGCUAAGCAGUGUUCGGCCUGGUUAGUACUUGGCGUGGAAACCCCCCUGGGAAAACCGGGUGCUGUCGGAU